AUUGAACGCUGGCGGCAGGCCUAACACAUGCAAGUCGAGCGAGCGGCGGACGGGUGAGUAAUGUAUGGGGACUGCCCGAUAGAGGGGGAUAACUACUGGAAACGGUAGCUAAUACCGCAUACUAUCGGAUAACCCAUAUGGGGUGAGAUAUUAGGUUAGGUAAUGGAUAACCUAGGCGACGAUCCCUAGCUGGUCUGCGAGGAUGAUCAGCAAAACUGGGCCUGAGAAACGGCCCAGACUCCUACGGAGGCAGCGGUGGGGAAUAUUGCACAAUGGGCGCAAGCCUGAUGCAGCCAUGCCGCGUGUAUGAAGAAGGCCCUAGGGUUGUAAAGUACUUUCAGUCGGGAGGCGUUACCGACAGAAGAAGCACCGGCUAACUCCGUGCCAGCCGCCGCGGUAAUUC
rnacentral:rRNA from 1 species